rnacentral:lncRNA from 1 species
UAAGGCCUUUCUCCAUCUCCUCCCCUGAAAUAUUUUUGUCACCAUCUCAUAUACCGAAUCCCCAACGAUGUCCUAGUGGUGCUAGAAGAAAGCCGUAUACAGGACACCCAAUGCCGAACAAGACAGCACAAAUAUCCUCUCUGGUGACCGGAUUACUCAAGGCAUUGAGUGUGUCUGUAUUAAGAGUUGGGAAUCUACCAUUGACUGUAAAGGUGCGACCACUAGGCGUAUCUUUUGAGUAUAGUGCUCUAAAGAAGUUAGAGGCCAUGUGUUUAAGUUAGCCAGCCUCAAGAUCCAAUUACCCUUAUUAUCUUGGAGCAUAACAAUUUUAUUCCGUCUACGCCUAGCCAUAGUGCGCACAUGGAAGUAGGUCGUGUUCUUGUUACUAAGAGAAAUGAACUCGCACCUCGAUUUUUGUAUCAAAUAGAGUUCUUCCUAUAACAGAGUGUCCUCGAGCUCCUAGUAGAGUGAUACCACAAGCCUACUGGAUACUCCAAGUUGGAGUGUUCAAGUGUCUGUUGAAUGUCAAAGAUACGAGUCAUUAAACAUCUCUUAUUCUAGAAGAUAUGGCAAAAGACAGUGGUGUUC